rnacentral:rRNA from 1 species
AUUGAACGCUGGCGGCAUGCUUUACACAUGCAAGUCGAACGGCAGCGCGGGCUUCGGCCUGGCGGCGAGUGGCGAACGGGUGAGUAAUGCAUCGGAACGUGCCCAGUAGUGGGGGAUAGCCCGGCGAAAGCCGGAUUAAUACCGCAUACGACCUGAGGGUGAAAGCGGGGGACCGAAAGGCCUCGCGCUAUUGGAGCGGCCGAUGUCGGAUUAGCUAGUUGGUGGGGUAAAGGCUUACCAAGGCGGCGAUCCGUAGCUGGUCUGAGAGGACGACCAGCCACACUGGGACUGAGGCACGGCCCAGACUCCUACGGGAGGCAGCAGUGGGGAAUUUUGGACAAUGGGGGCAACCCUGAUCCAGCCAUGCCGCGUGCGGGAAGAAGGCCUUCGGGUUGUAAACCGCUUUUGUUCGGGAAGAAAUCCUCUGGGCUAAUACCCCGGGGGGAUGACGGUACCGGAAGAAUAAGCACCGGCUAACUACGUG